GCUUGUCUCAAAGAUUAAGCCAUGCAUGUCUAAGUAUAACUCUUUUACUUUGAAAACUGCGAACGGCUCAUUAUAUCAGUUAUAGUUUCUUUGAUAGUCCCUUACUACUUGGAUACCCGUAGUAAUUCUAGAGCUAAUACAUGCAGCAAUCCCUGACUUAGGAAAGGGUGUACUUAUUAGAUGGAAACCAAUGAGGGGCAACCCUGUAUAUGGUGAUUCAUAAUAAUUUUCGGAUCGAUCUUUGAUCGAUGCAUCAUUCAAGUUUCUGCCCUAUCAGCUUUGGAUGGUAGGGUAUUGGCCUACCAUGGCUUUAACGGGUAACGGAGAAUUAGGGUUCGAUUCCGGAGAGGGAGCCUGAGAAAUGGCUACCACAUCCAAGGAAGGCAGCAGG
rnacentral:rRNA from 1 species